UACGUAGGGGGCAAGCGUUGUCCGGAUUUAUUGGGCGUAAAGAGCGUGUAGGCGGCUUGGUAGGUCCGCUGUGAAAACUCGAGGCUCAACCUCGAGAUGUCGGUGGAAACCACUUGGCUAGAGUCCGGAAGAGGAGAGUGGAAUUCCUGGUGUAGCGGUGAAAUGCGCAGAUAUCAGGAGGAACACCAAUUGCGAAGGCAGCUCGCUGGGACGUUACUGACGCUGAGACGCGAAAGCGUGGGGAGCAAACAGG
rnacentral:rRNA from 1 species